CGCGAGUCGGUUUCCUGUGUGCAUACCUAUUGCGAGGGCAUUCGGUUGGCUAAAACGGUCCCAUCUCCGCCUCGUGUCGGCGCUCCAUGCGGGCGUUCGGUGCGCGGUGGAUCUCAAGGCUCGCGUUGUGUUUCNCGCCGCAUUCACCCAUAAAACGGUGUUUGGGUAGGCGACCCACGACGUGAUGCCCCGUUGUCUCGGGUACNGAAUAUCGGGUGGGUUCGAGGCACCGUCCUCUGAUCACCACAAAAAUGCGUUCUACGCUUGAUGCGAACGACGGCCGCACACGACCUUUGGCGGAGCACUCGUUGUUCGGUCGAANUCGUGUCGGCGUCGGUGAAGGAUGC
rnacentral:misc_RNA from 1 species